UACGGAGGGUGCAAGCGUUGUCCGGAUUUAUUGGGUUUAAAGGGUGCGUAGGUGGGUUGGUAAGUCAGUGGUGAAAUCCCCGAGCUUAACUUGGGAACUGCCAUUGAUACUAUUAAUCUUGAAUACCGUGGAGGUUAGCGGAAUAUGUCAUGUAGCGGUGAAAUGCUUAGAUAUGACAUAGAACACCAAUUGCGAAGGCAGCUGGCUACACGAAUAUUGACACUGAUGCACGAAAGCGUGGGGAUCAAACAGG
rnacentral:rRNA from 1 species